CACCCGAGACUCAGUGAAAUUGAACUCGCUGUGAAGAUGCAGUGUACCCGCGGCAAGACGGAAAGACCCCGUGAACCUUUACUAUAGCUUGACACUGAACAUUGAGCCUUGAUGUGUAGGAUAGGUGGGAGGCUUUGAAGUGUGGACGCCAGUCUGCAUGGAGCCGACCUUGAAAUACCACCCUUUAAUGUUUGAUGUUCUAACGUGGACCCGUAAUCCGGGUUGCGGACAGUGUCUGGUGGGUAGUUUGACUGGGGCGGUCUCCUCCUAAAGAGUAACGGAGGAGCACGAAGGUUGGCUAAUCCUGGUCGGACAUCAGGAGGUUAGUGCAAUGGCAUAAGCCAGCUUGACUGCGAGCGUGACGGCGCGAGCAGGUGCGAAAGCAGGUCAUAGUGAUCCGGUGGUUCUGAAUGGAAGGGCCAUCGCUCAACGGAUAAAAGGUACUCCGGGGAUAACAGGCUGAUACCGCCCAAGAGUUCAUAUCGACGGCGGUGUUUGGCACCUCGAUGUCGGCUCAUCACAUCCUGGGGCUGAAGUAGGUCCCAAGGGUAUGGCUGUUCGCCAUUUAAAGUGGUACGCGAGCUGGGUUUAGAACGUCGUGAGACAGUUCGGUCCCUAUCUGCCGUGGGCGCUGGAGAACUGAGGGGGGCUGCUCCUAGUACGAGAGGACCGGAGUGGACGCAUCACUGGUGUUCGGGUUGUCAUGCCAAUGGCACUGCCCGGUAGCUAAAUGCGGAAGAGAUAAGUGCUGAAAGCAUCUAAGCACGAAACUUGCCCCGAGAUGAGUUCUCCCUGAGACUUAGAGUCUCCUGAAGGAACGUUGAAGACGACGACGUUGAUAGGCCGGGUGUGUAAGCGCAGCGAUGCGUUGAGCUAACCGGUACUAAUGAACCGUGAGGCUUAACCUUACA
rnacentral:rRNA from 1 species